rnacentral:pre_miRNA from 1 species
AAACCGCCCCUUAAGUUUUGCAACUGUAGCAUUUUUGGCCCCCCAAGACAAAAAAAAAUAAAAUAACAUGUGGCACCUCACUUAGGGUGCCACGUCAGCGUAGACCGAGUCAAAAUUGGCCUUGGGGGCCAAAACUGCCACAAAUGCAAAACUUAGUGGGCGAUUU